AUUGAACGCUGGCGGCAGGCUUAACACAUGCAAGUCGAGCGGAGACUUCGGUCUUAGCGGCGAACGGGUGAGUAAUACCUAGGAAUCUGCCUAUUAGUGGGGGAUAACGAAUCGAAAGGUUCGCUAAUACCGCAUACGUCCUACGGGAGAAAGGGGGGGGAUCUUCGGACCUCUCGCUAAUAGAUGAGCCUAGGCCGGAUUAGCUAGUUGGUAGGGUAAAGGCCUACCAAGGCGACGAUCUGUAGCUGGUCUGAGAGGAUGGCCAGCCACACUGGAACUGAGACACGGUCCAGACUCCUACGGGAGGCAGCAGUGGGGAAUAUUGGACAAUGGGGGCAACCCUGAUCCAGCCAUGCCGCGUGUGUGAAGAAGGCCUUCGGGUUGUAAAGCACUUUAAGCGAGGAGGAAGGUUUUUAGUUUAAUACACUAAAGAAUUGACGUUACUCGCAGAAUAAGCACCGGCUAACUCUGUG
rnacentral:rRNA from 1 species